UGAUCUAACAUUGAUCAAAACGGAAGCAAGUCUGUUGUUUCUAUUGAAUUAGGUUUGUGAGAGUUAGGACUAAACCAACAAAAAAAUUGCGGCAGCUGCUACUUUUGCAUUUCAUGAUUACUCUUUUUUUUGUCUGUUUGGUAUGCCUUUGUUUGUUAAAUUGGGUUUUGUUUGCUUUGCAUAUUGAUUAGAUUGGAGUUGUAGCCGAAAGGUUGAUAUGUGUAAAUAGGCUGAGCAAUUCUAUUUUGUUUUGCAGGGUUGGUGAACUAUGUGGUGUCAAAUUUUAUUACUGUUUUGGACUCAGGUAUGAAUUAUGUUAAGACUUCUAAUGCCUUUUCUUUUGGCAUUACAAUGUUAAUGUUUUAAGAGUCGGUGAGUUCUCAGUUGGUAUUUGGUUUAUUAAGUAAAUGAUGCUUGAUGCUUUUUAUCAAUUAUAUUUGUACAGUUUUCAGUUUGAAUCUUUUGUUCGUUUUAUAAAUGCAGAUACAAAAUUAGGUGGUUAUACGAUGCUAAGAACUCGAGGUUACUUCUGGCAAGGUAAUACAUCAUUGUUUUUUUUAAUGAAUCAUACAUGUUAAUGAAUUAAUUGGUUUUUUUUUUAACUCUUAAUGACUAAAUUGUUGAUUGUGAUUGUAAAGUGAAUGGCUGAUUUGCUCAUUUACAAUGGCUGUUGGUUUUUUCCUUCUUGCAGUCAUAAAGGCCUGAUCUCAAUUUAUUAAGCUAAACAGGCAGACAGACUUUGAAGAACAAAGGAGGGGAAGUUUCAAAACAUGGAAGGAAACUCCGUAUAUGCUGUUAUUAUCAAAGCAUCAAGUCAUUUUGCAGUCCUUUCUCUUAACUUCUAUUGCACUUUGUUAUAUGUAGAAGUGAAGGGGCUUUAGUA
rnacentral:lncRNA from 1 species